GACGAACGCUGGCGGCGUGCUUAACACAUGCAAGUCGAACGGAAAGGCCCUGCUUUUGUGGGGUGCUCGAUUGGCGAACGGGGGAGUAACACGUGAGUAUCCUGCCCUUGACUUUGGGAUAACUCCAGGAAACAGGGGCGAAUACCGGAGAGGAGCUCCUGCUGCAUGGGGGGGGAUGGAAAGUCUCGGCGGUGGGGUAUGGUCUCGCUGCUUAUCAGCUGGUUUGUGGGGUAGUUGCGUCCCAAGUCUUUGACGGGUAGCCGACCUGAGAGGGUGACCGGCCACCUUGGGCCUAAGAUACGGACCAGUAUCCAACGGGAGGCAGCAGUGGGGAGUAUUGCACAGUGGGCGGACGCGUGAUGCAGAAACGCUGCGUUCGUAAUAACCGCCUUUUAGUUAUAAACAUAUUUCGAAUGAGCCGAAGCGUGAGUGACGGUAAUGGGUCAAGAAGCCACGGCUAACUACGUG
rnacentral:rRNA from 1 species